rnacentral:rRNA from 1 species
UAUCUCUGUAGAGUCUGCAUAUCAAUAAGCGGAGGAAAAGAAACUAACUAGGACUCCCUCAGUAACGGCGAGUGAAGCGGGAAGAGCUCAAAUUUGAAAUCUUCAAGGUUCUACCUUGACGAAUUGUAGUUUAAAGAAGUGUUUUCUGUUGAAGUUUCGGUAAAAGUUCUUUGGAAUAGGACAUCAUAGAGGGUGAGAAUCCCGUAUUUGACCGUUAUUUCAGCUGUGUGAUACACUUUCAAAGAGUCGGAUUGUUUGGGAAUGCAGUCCAAAAUGGGUGGUAAAUUUCAUCUAAAGCUAAAUACUGGCGAGAGACCGAUAGCGAACAAGUACCGUGAGGGAAAGAUGAAAAGAACUUUGAGAAGAGAGUUAAACAGUACGUGAAAUUGUCAAAAGGGAAGCGUUUGACACCAGUGUUGUUUUCUCGAAAAUCAAUUAAAAAUGGCGGGAUUUUGUGUUGUAUUGACUUUAUCAGCUUUCUGCACUUUUUUCUUGUCUUUUUUAAUGCACUUUUCGUUUAACAAGUCAACAUCAAUUUCUUUUGUUGUAAAAGGGUCAUUGGAAGGUGGCUUUCUUUUCGGAGAAAGUGUUUAUAGCCUUUGACUUCUGCAAUCGGAGAGAUUGAGGUCUGCAGCGUAGAUCCUUCGGGGUUAGAUACAUUUGUGCUAAGCUUAUAGCCUUUCAUAGACAACUUGUUGACUAUGAUCAGUCAUGUAGCUUACUCGCUUAUGUUAUUUUACCUACGCUUAGGAUGUUGAUCUCUCACAGUCGAGC